GCUGUUGUCUGCCACCCAGGCUGAGACCCGCCCUUUCAGUGCAGGGGAGGCUCCGCAGAGCAGGAUUGUGCUUGUGGCUCCCCUGCCCUGGGGCGGCUAAGCGCCAGCUGCAGACCAGGCCGGGUAGGUGCGUUGCAACCUUGUUUCUACUAAAAAUACAAAAAUUAGCUGGGCAUGGUGGCACGUGCCUGUAGUCCCAGCUACUUCGGAGGCUGAGGCAGGAGAAUGAGGUUAUAGUGAACCAAGAUCGCACCACUGCACUCUAGCCUGGGCAACAGAGUGAGACUCCAUCUCAAAACAAACAAAUAAACAAACAAACUACUCCCCUCCUCUCAAGCCUUCAGAGAAGUUUCUGUCAUGGACACUGCUAUAAAUAACUACUUGAGGCCUGUCAUGGUGGCUCACACCUGUAAACCCAGCACUUUGAGAGGCUGAGGCGGGUGGAUCGUUUGACGUCAGGAGUUCCAGACCAGCCUGGCCAACAUGGGAAAACCCCGUCUCUACUAAAAAUACAAAAAUUAGCCAGGCGUGGUGAUGUGCGCCUGUAAUCACAGCUACUUAGGAGGCUGAGGCUGCAGUGAGCUGAGAUCACACACUGCAUACCAGCCUGAGUGACAGAGUGAGACUCUGUCUCCAAAAAAAAAAAAGGGAUUAAAAAAAACCUACCUGAGAGUGGGUAAUUUAUGAAGAAAUUAUGAAGAGGUUUAAUUGACUCACGGUUUUGCAGGCUGUACAAAAAAUAUGGCCAGGGAGGCCUCAGGAAACUUACAAUCAUGGCGGAAGGCAAAGGGGAAGUAGGCAUGUCUUUACGUGGCAGCAGGAGAGAGAAACAGAGCAAAAGGGGAAGUGCGACAUGCUAGAUUUCAUGAGAACUUACUAUCACAUGAACAGCUAGAGGGAAAUCUGCUUCCAUGAUCCAAUCACCUCCCAUUGGGAAUUACAAUUUGACAUGAGAUUUGGGUGGGGACACAGAGCCAAACCAUAUCAUUCCACCCUGGCCCCUCCCAAACCUCAUGUCCUUCUCACAUUUCAAAACACAAUCAUGCCUUCCCAACAGCCCCCCAAAGUCUUAACUCAUUCCAGCAUUAACUCAAAAGUCCCAGUCCAA
rnacentral:lncRNA from 1 species